rnacentral:rRNA from 1 species
AAGUAGAUAAGGGCGCAUGGGGGAUGCCUAGGCUCUCAGAGGCGAUGAAGGACGUGAUAAGCUGCGAAAAGUUGCGGGGAUCUGCACACAAGAAUUGAUCCGCAAAUAUCCGAAUGGGGCAACCUGGCAUAUUGAAGAUAUGUUAUCCGCAAGGAGGCGAACCCGGAGAACUGAAACAUCUAAGUACCCCGAGGAAAAGAAAUCAACCGAGA